CUGUAAGCCUGUGAAGGUGUACUGUGAGGUAUGCUGGAGGUAUCAGAAGUGCGAAUGCUGACAUAAGUAACGAUAAAGCGGGUGAAAAGCCCGCUCGCCGGAAGACCAAGGGUUCCUGUCCAACGUUAAUCGGGGCAGGGUGAGUCGACCCCUAAGGCGAGGCCGAAAGGCGUAGUCGAUGGGAAACAGGUUAAUAUUCCUGUACUUGGUGUUACUGCGAAGGGGGGACGGAGAAGGCUAUGUUGGCCGGGCGACGGUUGUC
rnacentral:rRNA from 1 species